rnacentral:rRNA from 1 species
CAGCCGCCACGGGAAUACGAAGGGGGCUAGCGUUGCUCGGAAUGACUGGGCGUAAAGGGCGCGUAGGCGGCGAUCAAAGUCAGGCGUGAAAUUCCUGGGCUCAACCUGGGGGCUGCGCUUGAUACUUGGUUGCUUGAGUGGGGAAGAGGGUCGUGGAAUUCCCAGUGUAGAGGUGAAAUUCGUAGAUAUUGGGAGGAACACCGGUGGCGAAGGCGGCAACCUGGUCCUUGACUGACGCUGAGGCGCGAAAGCGUGGGGAGCAAACAGGAUUAGAUACCCCGGUAGUCCCUGUCUCUUAUAC